AGCACCAGGGAGAGCUGCCUGUGCCUGGCAGAAGCUGCCCAUGCCCCACUGAUACCCCACAGUACUUCCUGUUCUGCUCAGUACUCCUGCUUCUUUCUACAAACAACUGUGAUUCUCUACCUGGGAGCUUCCUCUGGCCACAGGAGCCUGCUCACCUGAUUGGGACACCCUAGCAGUACUGUGCUUCCUGGAAUCAUCUCCCUCAUCAAUCAUUUGUUCCUAAAUUCUGUCUGAGUCUGUUUCUGAGGAAACCCAACCUGAGUCAUUGUCCCUCUUCUCCCCUCCUCACAUUCUCUUCACUGGGGGAGGAUGGAUUGAGUUGACUGGCAAAUUCGGGAGAAGGAGUUUGCAUCGGAGUGCGUGACUCAGCUGAGGCUGGGCUCUGUUUCUUCAGAAUGAGUGCAUUCAGAUUCGAUGUGUAUCCUGUCUCCGGGAAGCCCCAUGCUCUGCUCAUCUUAGCAUGAUUACUAAGGUACACUCUGCCCUUGCAAGGGGAAGGCCCGAGAUUUGCUGCUGGCAGGCUCAGUGGGAGUUGGAUGUUUUAUGUAACCUGAUUGUGGAUAUAGAUCAAUUCAUGCUUUUCAAUUCAGUCCUCUCUCUAAUAAACUGCUGUCAUAA
rnacentral:antisense_RNA from 1 species